UUAUCAAUUAAUUGAUGAAUCAAUUAAUUGGUAAAUAGUCUCUGAGGAACUCUGAGAGAACUGUGUGCUGUUGUAGUAAAUCUUUCAAAUAAACUGCAUCUGCGAUUAUCAACACUUUGCAGAAACUCAGCUCUGAAAUCUUGUACUUGCUGUUUGAUAUUGUUCCUUAUGAGGAGCCGUAUGAUGACACAGGAGAGCAAGACAGACAGAGCUGCACGAGCGAGCGAGAGAGUGAAAGUGUUCAGCUUUCAACAGAAGCAGGAGACGAGGGCGGACUCUGUGUAAUCCAGUUACCUAACUGAGAUCAUCUUACUUGAGCAACUCCGGCUUUAUGGUCUGAUGUGACCCCUGUAAUAAAAAACCAGCCCGGCUUGCUGUUAUGUUAUGUAAGAGCCUGGAGGAGGAGGAGGAGGAGAGUGACUGACCUCAGUGAUGGAAACAGGAUGAAAGGAUUUGCAAGUUUCUGAGCUCGCUUA